UGGAAAACAAAAAAAAAUGACUUCGGGCUCCCGGUUUCGACACGUCAAUUCUCUCUCCUCAACCUCUUAAUUUUCUUUCAUCAGUUUAACCAAAACAAACUUUCUUACUUUCUCUCUGUUCAUCUUCAUCGUCAUUGUAAUUUCCGCCACUAUUAUCAUCUUCGUCGUCGCCGGAGAUCGAGUCCAGUUCAUUGAUGCUGCUCACUUGGUUUUAAACAAUAUUGUAUCGAUAACUUGGGUAAGAGUAUAGGAAACUUGAAAGUAUACCUUUACAAAGUAAGAACGACUACCAAAAGUAUUAACUUUGAGAUUAUUCACAAAGCGACGUGUAUAGCGGAAGACUUCAUUUAGCUGAAUGAGUAUCU